AAAUAAAGUAUUUAUAGUGUCAUAGUCUAGCCCUUGUAUUAGCCCUGCAUUGUGAUUGGAGGUAAUCGGAGAUACAUACCAUUCUCAUUAGCUGAAGUUUUUUUAUGCGGGUGAAGGAGAACCAACAGAUUGGAGGAAAUUAUUUAUCUAACAAAAACUUUCCAAUCAGUGUUCGUUCGAUGGCGAAAAAAUUGAAUCCAGUAGGAAUGGCUCUUUACACAUUAAGUGCUGCUAACUUUUUUAUGUAGCUGAAUUGCUGGAACCAUGACUUGAAUUCCAAAAUUAAAUAAGAUCAAUAACAAAAGGAAAAGGUUCGAAAUUUAAAUUCUUUGAAGGUAGUUUUGAAGUAAAGUUGAUUUUAUAUACUAAUAAAUACUUCCACGAUAAAGUUAAUAUAAGAAAUUCAUAGAAAGAAAAUUGGCUAUGAUGAAACUUUCUUCAAAAUUUUGAAGGAUGUAAUAAGACGUAAUGAUCAAAGACUACAAAAAUCUUAAAUGUCUUUUCAAAUUCAAGCUUUUUUGAAAGAUGUUCAUGCUAGAUCAAAAUCAGAAAAGGUGUUUUGUAAGUGCAAGACUAUUUUUCAAUAUUUUUUUAUUUAUUUAUAUUGUAUUAGUUUUCAUGGAUUAAACAACUAUUGAUUAAACAAUC